UGGGGAAUUUUGGACAAUGGGGGCAACCCUGAUCCAGCCAUGCCGCGUGCGGGAAGAAGGCCUUCGGGUUGUAAACCGCUUUCGGACAGAAAGAAAUCGCCUUGGCUAAUACCUGAGGUGGAUGACGGUACUGUAAGAAGAAGCACCGGCUAACUACGUGCCAGCAGCCGCGGUAAUACGUAGGGUGCGAGCGUUAAUCGGAAUUACUGGGCGUAAAGCGUGCGCAGGCGGAUAUUUAAGUCAGAUGUGAAAUCCCCGGGCUUAACCUGGGAAUGGCAUUUGAAACUGGAUGUCUAGAGUGUGGCAGAGGGGGGUGGAAUUCCACGUGUAGCAGUGAAAUGCGUAGAGAUGUGGAGGAACACCGAUGGCGAAGGCAGCCCCCUGGGCUAACACUGACGCUCAUGCACGAAAGCGUGGGGAGCAAGCAG
rnacentral:rRNA from 1 species